ensembl:lncRNA
UUUUUCUUUAUUUUACUAUUUUCUACAUUGUAGAAUAAUACAGAAGACAUCCCAACUAUGCAAUAACACAUAUGGAAUCAUGUAGUAACCAAAAUAUUUGUUAUAUUUGAGAUUCUUCAAAGUAGCCCCCUUUACCUGGAUGACAUAUUUACACACUCUUGGCAUUCUCUCCACCAGCUUCAUGAGGUAGUCACCUGAAAUGCAUUUCAAUUAACAGGCAUAGACAUCGCGGAAUGGGGUGAUCGGAAAGCUCAACACACAGAAGCUGUUGUCCUAAUAAAGAGUACAUCUUCCAGGAGAAGUGGUCGACAGCACACAGAACAUUUGAUCAGGACGAGGCCUGGAAAACCAAAGCCCAGGGCGAUGGUUUCAUGGGCUCUCUCAGGACCUUGUGGGCCCAGGCUCGUUGAAAUAUCAGCUCAACUCAGACAUGGACUCUGGCUGUGGGACAGAAAAAACAGACACUGCAACCCACUCAAGACUCUGCAGAACCACCCAGUGCCCAGCCAGCCUUCCCACCUGUCACCACCAUGGCUCCCCAGAUACCAUUCUCCAGUCUGUGGGGAGAGCAGUGAGGGGUCUGUCCAGGUUGACGUGUCCCAGUAUGAAAACUCCUCCUACCUGGUCUGACUCCUGGAGUAGCUCCUACAUGGACCUCCAGGGGCCGCAGUGGGGCCAGGACACCAAUGGACGUAGGAGCAGAGGGCCCUGCUGGGCAGCCUGGAACACAGCGUCCUUCUCCUGUCUGACUUCCCCUGUUUAGCCUACAUGUGGAGGAUAGGGGCUCUCCUCGCCCCCUCUGUUCCAGGAACGAGCAUGGCGCCACCACGGCCACACAGGCGUGUAAUUCCACCUCCAGGAUGUUUCCACUUCAAAGGGCUGCAGAAGUUGGUGCAGAUACAGUCAAUUUGACUGACAUGACAGGAUUGAAGAGACAGGACUUAACAAACUGGAGGAGGUGGUGGGAGGUGCGUUAUUCAUUGAGGUUGGCUACCUCUUCAGAAGAAUAAUCUAUAAAUAGUAUGGCACUAAACCAAAGCCUGUCAUUAUUCUUGUUGGGAAAAGUGUGGCAAUUAAACAAUAAGACCCGAGGGGGUGUGGUACAGUAUAUGGCCAAUACACCACGGCUAAGGGCUGUUCUUAAGCACAACUCAACACGGAGUGCCUGGACACAGCCCUUAGCCGUGGGGGUUUGUGAUAUCAGGGCGGCAGGGUAGCUUUCAGCCACUCAGCAUUCAGGGCUCGAACCACAGUUUAUAAUGUGAAAUAGACUAUUGUGGCUGGCAUUAGAAUUACAAUGGAAAGCAUUGCAUUUUUUAUGAGAAUUAUAUAUUUUUUAUUUACAGACUGUGUGAAUGUAGAAUGGAUAUACUGAGUGCUGUAUGAGCAGGAAUAUCUUACUGUAAAGAAGGUAUGUCCGGAAAGUUUUUAGGCAUUUACAUUUUCAUUUGUUGAUUCUAUUAGCAAGAUGUAGUGAAGCAAUUUUACAAAUGGAUUUGAAAAUAAAUAAAAUCCAAAAUGUUCAUAUUCCAGAUUGUAUCCUUGAUUCAAGUCCAUGUAAAUAUUUAGUUACUGGACUUUGAUAUAAGUGUUUAUAGAAAUAUGUACUGAUAUUUAAGACAUGAUUGUAUAGAGAUUGUCAGUGACAUUAGAGUCUGACUUGUUGUAGUGUUCUAUAGAAGGGAUACAGUAAGUCUGACUUGUUGUAGUGUUCUAUAGGAGGGAUACAGUAAGUCUGACUUGUUGUAGUGUUCUAUAGGAGGGAUACAGUAAGUCUGAUUUACUGCCAUGUUCUAUAGCAGCGAUGGCUGUGUCCUAACAGACUGAACAGGUUAUAUUAGUGCUGCAUGACCCUCCCCAGUUUGUUAUCCUCUUCUAAAUAGCUGUGGACGGGAGGUGAGGCAGACUGCCUGUGAUGACUGCCAGCUCUGCUAUGUUUGCCCCGGCUGUAACCCAGU